AGACUCUCGGCAACGGAUAUCUCGGCUCUUGCAUCGAUGAAGAACGUAGCGAAAUGCGAUACUUGGUGUGAAUUGCAGAAUCCCGUGAACCAUCGAGUCUUUGAACGCAAGUUGCGCCCAAAGCCAUUAGGCUGAGGGCACGCCUGCCUGGGUGUUGCACA
rnacentral:rRNA from 1 species